rnacentral:rRNA from 1 species
CCUACGGGUGGCAGCAGUGAGGAAUAUUGGUCAAUGGGCGGGAGCCUGAACCAGCCAAGCCGCGUGAGGGAAGAAGGUACAGCGUAUCGUAAACCUCUUUUGUCAGGGAACAAAGGCGGGGACUAGUCCCCGGAUGAGGGUACCUGAAGAAAAAGCAUCGGCUAACUCCGUGCCAGCCGCCGCGGUAAUACGGAGGAUGCGAGCGUUAUCCGGAUUUAUGGGGUUAAAAGGGUGCGCAGGCGGACUGUUAAGUCAGCGGUAAAAGCCCGGGGCGCAACCCGGGCGAGCCGUUGAAACUGGCGGGCUGGAGUGGGAGAGAGGUACGCGGAAUGCGCGGUGUAGCGGUGAAAUGCGUAGAUAUCGGGCAGAACCCCGAUUGCGAAGGCAGCGUACCGGCUCCACACUGACGCUGAGGCACGAAAGCGUGGGUAUCGAACAGGAUUAGAUACCCUUGUAGUC